CGCCUUGCCAGCCCGCUCAGAAACUUAAAUGAAUUGACGGGGACCCGCACAAGCGGUGGAGCAUGUGGUUUAAUUCGACGAUACGCGAAGAACCUUACCUGGCCUUGACAUACUAAAAAGCUUUAAGAGAUUAGAGUGUGCUAGCUUGCUAGAAUUUAGAUACAGGUGCUGCACGGCUGUCGUCAGCUCGUGUCGUGAGAUGUUGGGUUAAGUCCCGUAACGAGCGCAACCCUUGUCCUUAGUUACCAGCACGUUAUGGUGGGCACUCUAAGGAGACUGCCGGUGACAAACCGGAGGAAGGUGGGGAUGACGUCAAGUCAUCAUGGCCCUUACGGCCUGGGCUACACACGUGCUACAAUGGUCGGUACAAAGGGUUGCCAAGCCGCGAGGUGGAGCUAAUCCCAUAAAACCGAUCGUAGUCCGGAUCGCAGUCUGCAACUCGACUGCGUGAAGUCGGAAUCGCUAGUAAUCGUGAAUCAGAAUGUCACGGUGAAUACGUUCCCGGGCCUU
rnacentral:rRNA from 1 species